UCCCAGACUCCUACGGGAGGCAGCAGUGAGGAAUAUUGGUCAAUGGGCGGGAGCCUGAACCAGCCAAGUCGCGUGAGGGAAGACGGUCCUAUGGAUUGUAAACCUCUUUAGGCGGGGAGCAAUGCCGGGCACGCGUGCCCGGAGGGAGAGUACCCGCAGAAUAAGCAUCGGCUAACUCCGUGCCAGCAGCCGCGGUAAUACGGAGGAUGCGAGCGUUAUCCGGAUUUAUUGGGUUUAAAGGGUGCGUAGGCGGAUUGAUAAGUUAGAGGUGAAAUGUCCGGGCUCAACUCGGGAACUGCCUCUAAUACUGUUGAUCUGGAGAGUAGAUGCGGUAGGCGGAAUGUAUGGUGUAGCGGUGAAAUGCUUAGAGAUCAGACAGAACACCGAUUGCGAAGGCAGCUUACCAAUCUAUAUCUGACGUUGAGGCACGAAAGCGUGGGGAGCAAACAGGAUUAGAUACCCCGGUA
rnacentral:rRNA from 1 species